UUAAGCGACUAAGCGUACACGGUGGAUGCCCUGGCAGUCAGAGGCGAUGAAGGACGUGCUAAUCUGCGAUAAGCGUCGGUAAGGUGAUAUGAACCGUUAUAACCGGCGAUUUCCGAAUGGGGAAACCCAGUGUGUUUCGACACACUAUCAUUAACUGAAUCCAUAGGUUAAUGAGGCGAACCGGGGGAACUGAAACAUCUAAGUACCCCGAGGAAAAGAAAUCAACCGAGAUUCCCCCAGUAGCGGCGAGCGAACGGGGAGCAGCCCAGAGCCUGAAUCAGUGUGUGUGUUAGUGGAAGCGUCUGGAAAGGCGCGCGAUACAGGGUGACAGCCCCGUACACAAAAAUGCACAUGCUGUGAGCUCGAUGAGUAGGGCGGGACACGUGGUAUCCUGUCUGAAUAUGGGGGGACCAUCCUCCAAGGCUAAAUACUCCUGACUGACCGAUAGUGAACCAGUACCGUGAGGGAAAGGCGAAAAGAACCCCGGCGAGGGGAGUGAAAAAGAACCUGAAACCGUGUACGUACAAGCAGUGGGAGCACGCUUAGGCGUGUGACUGCGUACCUUUUGUAUAAUGGGUCAGCGACUUAUAUUCUGUAGCAAGGUUAACCGAAUAGGGGAGCCGAAGGGAAACCGAGUCUUAACUGGGCGUUAAGUUGCAGGGUAUAGACCCGAAACCCGGUGAUCUAGCCAUGGGCAGGUUGAAGGUUGGGUAACACUAACUGGAGGACCGAACCGACUAAUGUUGAAAAAUUAGCGGAUGACUUGUGGCUGGGGGUGAAAGGCCAAUCAAACCGGGAGAUAGCUGGUUCUCCCCGAAAGCUAUUUAGGUAGCGCCUCGUGAAUUCAUCUCCGGGGGUAGAGCACUGUUUCGGCAAGGGGGUCAUCCCGACUUACCAACCCGAUGCAAACUGCGAAUACCGGAGAAUGUUAUCACGGGAGACACACGGCGGGUGCUAACGUCCGUCGUGAAGAGGGAAACAACCCAGACCGCCAGCUAAGGUCCCAAAGUCAUGGUUAAGUGGGAAACGAUGUGGGAAGGCCCAGACAGCCAGGAUGUUGGCUUAGAAGCAGCCAUCAUUUAAAGAAAGCGUAAUAGCUCACUGGUCGAGUCGGCCUGCGCGGAAGAUGUAACGGGGCUAAACCAUGCACCGAAGCUGCGGCAGCGACGCUUAUGCGUUGUUGGGUAGGGGAGCGUUCUGUAAGCCUGUGAAGGUGUACUGUGAGGUAUGCUGGAGGUAUCAGAAGUGCGAAUGCUGACAUAAGUAACGAUAAAGCGGGUGAAAAGCCCGCUCGCCGGAAGACCAAGGGUUCCUGUCCAACGUUAAUCGGGGCAGGGUGAGUCGACCCCUAAGGCGAGGCCGAAAGGCGUAGUCGAUGGGAAACAGGUUAAUAUUCCUGUACUUGGUGUUACUGCGAAGGGGGGACGGAGAAGGCUAUGUUGGCCGGGCGACGGUUGUCCCGGUUUAAGCGUGUAGGCUGGUUUUCCAGGCAAAUCCGGAAAAUCAAGGCUGAGGCGUGAUGACGAGGCACUACGGUGCUGAAGCAACAAAUGCCCUGCUUCCAGGAAAAGCCUCUAAGCAUCAGGUAACAUCAAAUCGUACCCCAAACCGACACAGGUGGUCAGGUAGAGAAUACCAAGGCGCUUGAGAGAACUCGGGUGAAGGAACUAGGCAAAAUGGUGCCGUAACUUCGGGAGAAGGCACGCUGAUAUGUAGGUGAAGUCCCUCGCGGAUGGAGCUGAAAUCAGUCGAAGAUACCAGCUGGCUGCAACUGUUUAUUAAAAACACAGCACUGUGCAAACACGAAAGUGGACGUAUACGGUGUGACGCCUGCCCGGUGCCGGAAGGUUAAUUGAUGGGGUCAGCGCAAGCGAAGCUCUUGAUCGAAGCCCCGGUAAACGGCGGCCGUAACUAUAACGGUCCUAAGGUAGCGAAAUUCCUUGUCGGGUAAGUUCCGACCUGCACGAAUGGCGUAAUGAUGGCCAGGCUGUCUCCACCCGAGACUCAGUGAAAUUGAACUCGCUGUGAAGAUGCAGUGUACCCGCGGCAAGACGGAAAGACCCCGUGAACCUUUACUAUAGCUUGACACUGAACAUUGAGCCUUGAUGUGUAGGAUAGGUGGGAGGCUUUGAAGUGUGGACGCCAGUCUGCAUGGAGCCGACCUUGAAAUACCACCCUUUAAUGUUUGAUGUUCUAACGUUGACCCGUGAUCCGGGUUGCGGACAGUGUCUGGUGGGUAGUUUGACUGGGGCGGUCUCCUCCUAAAGAGUAACGGAGGAGCACGAAGGUUGGCUAAUCCUGGUCGGACAUCAGGAGGUUAGUGCAAUGGCAUAAGCCAGCUUGACUGCGAGCGUGACGGCGCGAGCAGGUGCGAAAGCAGGUCAUAGUGAUCCGGUGGUUCUGAAUGGAAGGGCCAUCGCUCAACGGAUAAAAGGUACUCCGGGGAUAACAGGCUGAUACCGCCCAAGAGUUCAUAUCGACGGCGGUGUUUGGCACCUCGAUGUCGGCUCAUCACAUCCUGGGGCUGAAGUAGGUCCCAAGGGUAUGGCUGUUCGCCAUUUAAAGUGGUACGCGAGCUGGGUUUAGAACGUCGUGAGACAGUUCGGUCCCUAUCUGCCGUGGGCGCUGGAGAACUGAGGGGGGCUGCUCCUAGUACGAGAGGACCGGAGUGGACGCAUCACUGGUGUUCGGGUUGUCAUGCCAAUGGCACUGCCCGGUAGCUAAAUGCGGAAGAGAUAAGUGCUGAAAGCAUCUAAGCACGAAACUUGCCCCGAGAUGAGUUCUCCCUGACUCCUUGAGAGUCCUGAAGGAACGUUGAAGACGACGACGUUGAUAGGCCGGGUGUGUAAGCGCAGCGAUGCGUUGAGCUAACCGGUACUAAUGAACCGUGAGGCUUAACCU
rnacentral:rRNA from 1 species